CCUACGGGUGGCAGCAGUGAGGAAUAUUGGUCAAUGGGCGUAAGCCUGAACCAGCCAAGUCGCGUGAGGGAUGAAGGUUCUAUGGAUCGUAAACCUCUUUUAUAAGGGAAUAAAGUGGGGGACGUGUCCUGUUUUGUAUGUACCUUAUGAAUAAGGAUCGGCUAACUCCGUGCCAGCAGCCGCGGUAAUACGGAGGAUCCGAGCGUUAUACGGAUUUAUUGGGUUUAAAGGGUGCGUAGUCGGCCUUUUAAGUCAGCGGUGAAAGACUUGGGCUCAACCAUGGAAGUGCCGUUGAAACUGGUAGGCUUGAGUGUGAGAGAGGCAGGCGGAAUGCGUGGUGUAGCGGUGAAAUGCUUAGAUA
rnacentral:rRNA from 1 species